CAUUACAGAGUUCAUGCCCGAAAGGGUAGACCUCCCACCCUUGUGUAUUAUUACUUUGUUGCUUUGGCGAGCUGCCUUCGGGCCUUGUAUGCUCGCCAGAGAAUACCAAAACUCUUUUUAUUAAUGUCGUCUGAGUACUAUAUAAUAGUUAAAACUUUCAACAACGGAUCUCUUGGUUCUGGCAUCGAUGAAGAACGCAGCGAAAUGCGAUAAGUAAUGUGAAUUGCAGAAUUCAGUGAAUCAUCGAAUCUUUGAACGCACAUUGCGCCCCUUGGUAUUCCGGGGGGCAUGCCUGUUCGAGCGUCAUUUCAACCCUCAAGCUUAGCUUGGUAUUGAGUCUAUGUCAGUAAUGGCAGGCUCUAAAAUCAGUGGCGGCGCCGCUGGGUCCUGAACGUAGUAAUAUCUCUCGUUACAGGUUCUCGGUGUGCUUCUGCCAAAACCCAAAUUUUUCUAUGGUUGACCUCGGAUCAGGUAGGGAUACCCGCUGAACUUAAGCAUAUCA
rnacentral:rRNA from 1 species